GAUCAUGGCUCAGGAUGAACGCUGGCGGCGUGCCUAAUACAUGCAAGUCGAACGCGGGCAGCAAUGCCCGAGUGGCGAACGGGUGAGUAAUACAUAAGUAACCUGCCCUUUACAGGGGGAUAACUAUUGGAAACGAUAGGCUAAGACCGCAUAGGUAAAGAUACCGCAUGGUAAGUUUAUUAAAAGUGCCAAGGCACUGGUAGAGGAUGGACUUAUGGCGCAUUAGCUAGUUGGUGAGGUAACGG
rnacentral:rRNA from 1 species